GAUGAACGCUGGCGGCGUGCCUAAUACAUGCAAGUCGAGCGAACAGAUGAGGAGCUUGCUCCUCUGACGUUAGCGGCGGACGGGUGAGUAACACGUGGAUAACCUCCCUAUAAGACUGGGAUAACUUCGGGCAACCGGAGCUAAUACCGGAUAAUAUAUUGAACCGCAUGGUUCAAUAGUGAAAGACGGUUUUGCUGUCACUUAUAUAUGGAUCCGCGCCGCAUUAGCGAGUUGGUAAGGUAACGGCUUACCAAGGCAACGAUGCGUAGCCGACCUGAGAGGGUGAUAGGACACACUGGAACUGAGACACGGUCCAGACUCCUACGGGAGGCAGCAGUAGGGAACCUUCCGCAAAGGGCGAAAGCCUGACGGAGCAACGCCGCGUGAGUGAUGAAGGUCUUCGGAUCGUAAAACUCUGUUAUUAGGGAAGAACAAAUGUGUAAGUAACUAUGCACGUCUUGACGGUACCUAAUCAGAAAGCCACGGCUAACUACGUG
rnacentral:rRNA from 1 species